GCGCGCGGGGACGGGCGCGGGCGUCGGCGACCCCGGCCCUGGGCGGGGAUCCCUGGGGGACACCCCGGCCUGGCCGGGAGUCCGGUUACCCUGGGCACCUCCCCUCCCGGUCCCGCCCCGCCGCCCGGGCCGGAAGACGGGAAGUCCCGGGGCCCGCGGGGAUAAAAGGCCGCGGGUGGCCGAGGCCGAGUGGGAAGGCGCGGCGCGCGCAGCUCGGGGACCGGCGUCCAGGCUCGGGGCGCGGCGACGGAGGCGCUGGCGGCGGCAGCACCAGUUUCCUGUCGCAAGGCCGACCACUCUCAUCCAUUGCCGUUCUUUCAAUAAUUCAACAUAAAGUGACGAGCCCUCCUGUCCCCUGACCUCUCGUCCAGGUCCUUAGAAUCAGCGGUGGCAGACACAGCCCUCGCCUUCAGAGGACGUCCAGUCUGGUGGGGGCCUCAAUCAAUGAGAUAAGGGCUCGCAAUGAGCAGCGACGGGGGGUGCUUAGGAGGGGUCCAGGGAAGCCCCCUCUCGGGUGGAGAAUCAGAAGCCAGUGAGAUGGGAAGGGUGAGCGGGGUCAACCAGGUGCCAGGAUGGGUCAGAGGCCUUCUGAGUGGGAUAAACGGGGCUUGCAAAGGCCGUGAGGUGACUCUGAAAGGGUUCAGGAGGUUGGAGGUGGAGGCUGGGAGAGGGCAGGUGGUAAGGAGCCAUUUAAAUGAACCAGCUGUGAGCUCAUCCUGAGGGGGAGGGGGAUGAAGAAACCCCACUUUCCUCUCAGGAUGUCCUGUUUGUGUCUGUUUGUCUGUCUGUCUUGCGGUCGGGGUGAAGCUGGCUGUUCACUGCUCAGAGGCUCUCAGCGGUUUGAUCUGCAUUUUAGUGAGCACAGGCUCAUUACAGUGGGGCAGGCUGCAGGGAGAUCAGCAGCGCUGGAGAGGAGUCCAGGUGGGAUGGACCAGGCACCGCAUGAGGAGAAGCGGACAGGUGGGAGAGAGCUUCAGGGGGACAGCGGCAGGCCUUGGUGAUGGGGAUGGGGGAACCAGGGAGAGAUGGGAAGGAGUCAGGGAGGUGUUCCAGGGUCUUAGACAAGCAGCUGGGUGAGUGAGGGUCUCAUUUCCUGGGGGCUGCGCUGGUUUCAGGCAUGUGCCCAGCACACCUGCCUGCUGGCAUUCCCACUUUGGUGUCCACUAGCUUCCCAGGUCCGCCCUCCCUGUUGUGGCCGUUUCCUGUCCUCCUCUUGGCUGUUCUCUCUGGGGCCCUUCCGUUCCUCCUUGCCUUUCCAUUCUGGCAUCUGCAGGGAUCAGUCCCUCCCUCUCACGCUCAGGCCACUCUCAUGGCUUUUGCUGGGACACAUGAGGAAAGCUCCCAAGUCUAUGUUUCUGAUUUAGCGAGAAAAUUGAAAACAAAAAAUGGAGCCAAAACAAUGUACAGUUGUCUCAGCCUCACUUUUAAUGUUGGAAGGUCACGUGAUAUCAGAGGAUAGCGAGGUGCAGGAACUCUGAAUUGGGUUGUGUGACGUCAGGAGAUGCCAACCUGGGGCCAGGCCAUCCUCAGGAGUGAGGGCUGCUCAGCAGGAGGCAGACGGCCCACUGGGCAGCCACCACAGAGGAACGUUCCUUGCCUCACAGAUGAUUUUGUAGUAACUUCAGCCUGUCUCUGAGUGCCAUUCAGCAUCUCAACACCUCAUGUCUACCAGUUGAGACAGGGAGGCCACGGCCUGGUGUACAACUGAUGAUCUCACAAGGACUCUUCACAGAUGUGUGCAGGAAUAAGCAGUGUUGGCGAGGCCAGGCCAGAGAACUAGACAUUCAUCACUCUGGGUACCCGUUCUCCUGCUCCUCAGAGGGGAAGAGCUGGUCCUCAUGGGAAGAGAUUGGAGGUCACCGCACCCAGCUGUGUUUUCUGUGUCUGUGUCCACUUUAAGGCUGCUGCCUCAGACUACUGCUGCUUUAAGAUCGGAGCCACUUUAAGACUACUAUAGCUGUAAGACUACUGCCCUUUAACACCUUCAAGACUGCUCUGGCCUUAAGGCUGCUGAGGGAAGGGGUGAGAGAAGAGCACACAAAACAUCCAGCAAACCUUACGACCAAUCUGAAGUUCGCUCUUCUGGAUUUCGUCCUCCUUUGGAUGCUGUAAAUCUUUGUUUUCCAUAUUUCUCACAAAACUGGUUCUGACAGUUUCUGCUUGUUUUUUAAUGUUUUUCUGGGGGAAACGGUGGGUAAGAACCUGGAGCUCCCUACUCUGCCAUUUUCCUGAAGCCACUACAGAUGGCAUUCUUAAGGCUUGUUUCUCUAUGGGUAACACUAUUUUUAAAAAUUGUGUUAAGACAGGUAACUUGAAAUUUACCCCCUCAACAAAUUUCUAAGUCUGUUACAAUGCUGUCAACUAUAAGCAUAAUGUAUAGCAGAUCUCUACAACUUAUGCAUCUUGCAUAGAUGAAACUUUAUACCCAUUGAACAACAAUUCCCUAUUUCCCCUAUCCCCCAACCCUUGGCAACCAUCAUUCUUUUUGCUUCUAUGAGUUUGACUAUUUUAGAAACCUCAUAUAAGUGAAAUCAUGCAGUAUUUGUCUUU